AAUAUUGGACAAUGGGCGAAAGCCUGAUCCAGCCAUGCCGCGUGUGUGAAGAAGGNCUNNGGAUUNUNAAGCACUUUAAGUUGNNNNNAAGGGCAGUAANUUAAUACCUUGCUGUUUUGACGUUACCGAUAGAAUAAGCACCGGCUCACUCCGUGCCAGCAGCCGCGGUAAAACAGAGGGUGCAAGCGUUAAUAUGACUUACUGGGCGUAAAGCGCGCGUAGGUGGUUCAGUAAGAUGGGUGUGAAAGCCCCGGGCUCAACCUGGGAACUGCUUUCAAAACUGGCAAGCUAGAGUAUGGCAGAGGGUGGUGGAAUUUCCUGUGUAGCGGUGAAAUGCGUAGAUAUAGGAAGGAACACCAGUGGCGAAGGCGACCACCUGGGCUAAUACUGACACUGAGGUGCGAAAGCGUGGGGAGCAAAC
rnacentral:rRNA from 1 species